rnacentral:rRNA from 1 species
AAUCAACGCUGGCGGCGUGCCUCAGACAUGCAAGUCGAACGCGAAAGUUUCCUUCGGGAGACAAGUAGAGUGGCGCACGGGUGAGUAACACGUAGGUAAUCUACCUUUGGAUGGGGAAUAACAACCGGAAACGGUUGCUAAUACCGCAUAAUGCAGCGGCACCUAAUGGUGACAGUUGUUAAAGCGGGGGAUCGAAAGACCUCGCGUCUAAAGAGGAGCCUGCGGCGGAUUAGCUAGUUGGUAAGGUAAUGGCUUACCAAGGCUACGAUCCGUAACC